UACAGAGGGUGCGAGCGUUAAUCGGAAUUACUGGGCGUAAAGCGCGCGUAGGCGGUUAUGUAAGUUGGAUGUGAAAUCCCUGGGCUCAACCUAGGAAUUGCAUUCAAAACUGUAUGACUUGAGUGAAGUAGAGGUGAGUGGAAUUUCCGGAGUAGCGGUGAAAUGCGUAGAUACCGGAAGGAACACCAGUGGCGAAGGCGACUCACUGGGCUUUAACUGACGCUGAGGUGCGAAAGCGUGGGGAGCAAACAGG
rnacentral:rRNA from 1 species